rnacentral:rRNA from 1 species
AUUGAACGCUGGCGGCAUGCCUUACACAUGCAAGUCGAACGGCAGCAUGGAGAGCUUGCUCUCUGAUGGCGAGUGGCGAACGGGUGAGUAAUGCAUCGGAACGUACCGUGUAAUGGGGGAUAACGUAGCGAAAGUUACGCUAAUACCGCAUACGACCUGAGGGUGAAAGAAGGGGAUCGCAAGACCUUGCGUUAUACGAGCGGCCGAUGUCAGAUUAGCUAGUUGGUGAGGUAAAGGCUCACCAAGGCGACGAUCUGUAGCGGGUCUGAGAGGAUGAUCCGCCACACCGGGACUGAGACACGGCCCAGACUCCUACGGGAGGCAGCAGUGGGGAAUUUUGGACAAUGGGGGCAACCCUGAUCCAGCCAUGCCGCGUGAGUGAAGAAGGCCUUCGGGUUGUAAAGCUCUUUCGGCCGGGAAGAAAUCGCACAGGCUAAUACUCUGUGUGGAUGACGGUACCGGCACAAGAAGCACCGGCUAACUACGUGCCAGCAGCCGCGGUAA